UGUCCAAUUGCAAUCGGCUCGCAGGAGCUCAUGAUCCCACUGGAUGUCCUCAGUAGUGUGCUCUCCGAGGAGUCCAGCGCACAGAAUUGUCAAAAGUGGUAGUGUUACAACAAUGAACCUUGUGCUAUUUGCGGCAUGAAAAUCGCCGUGAAAUGCAUGGACGCCUCAAGAGGUAGAGCAGGAGAAUGCUGCACAGUAAAUGAGCUCUGGCGUCACUGCAGAGGUUGCGCUCUGCCAUAAAAAUAUGCAGAUGCGCGGCCAUUUACACACGGCAUGUGGUCAUCGCUUCCAAUAGACCGUGCCACAACUGCAGAUUCUAGAAACAAGCCUCAAGGUACAGAUCUGUGUGGCUCUUGACAGUGGGUAAUCGAUAAUGCUUUCAGCUGUGAUCUGAUAUGUGUUACAUUUGGGUUUCAAUCUGGGCAGGUCAUCCAUAGGAUGUAACCCUUUGCUGUGUAUACAUGUGUUCUUACUGGUCAAUUUUGACAAAAGCUACACCGUACGGAUGCAUCAUGCAGCCAUGAUUGCCCAAUAUUAGCUCCUUCUCCAGGGACGCAGUACUGACUAAUGACUUUCUUGCAGAGAGGAUGGAUUUUUAAGAUUGCCAUGGGCUCAUCAUGCAGCAAUGGAAGCAGCACAGCAGACCAGCUGUCUGGAGAGAGAUAUAUCUCUCUAUACCAGCAAAGCUAGUAUUGACAGUCUAAAGGCCUGCUAACUUCACAGCAUGUCAGAUUUGAAAAAAUCUCAAUUGCUCACUUUUGCGCUCGUAUACAGAUGGGACCUUACAGCUUUGAUCGUAUGCAAUAUGGACAUCUUGCAAGGGAACAAUCCCCUACACUUGCAAGUGCACAAGGAUGUCUGCUUGACAGGGGUCAAAGGUGACAGUGUUUUUAAUUAAGCUGAUGUGUGAAUGGGACACGUUUUUUAGAUUCCAUAAUAGAGACUGAUCCGCCAGUCGAGAGUCCUGGUCAAGAUCCACAGUGCCCCUUAACGCAUGCCGAACGCAUCCUGCUUGCACAAUAGGUAGGACGAAAACAGCCUCUAUGUCGAGCAGGGGGCUGCAUGCAUUUAGCAGACAAUUCAUACAUAUGCAGCUCCUUGGAUGUGUGGAAAUUA
rnacentral:lncRNA from 1 species